GGGGUUGUAGCUCAACAGGGAGAGCAUCUGCUUUGCAUGCAGCGUGUUGUGAGUUCGACUCUCACCAACUCCACCA
rnacentral:tRNA from 1 species